AAAUUGAAGAGUUUGAUCAUGGCUCAGAUUGAACGCUGGCGGCAGGCCUAACACAUGCAAGUCGAACGGUAACAGGAAACAGCUUGCUGUUUCGCUGACGAGUGGCGGACGGGUGAGUAAUGUCUGGGAAACUGCCCGAUGGAGGGGGAUAACUACUGGAAACGGUAGCUAAUACCGCAUAACGUCGCAAGACCAAAGAGGGGGACCUUCGGGCCUCUUGCUAUCGGAUGUGCCCAGAUGGGAUUAGCUAGUAGGUGGGGUAACGGCUCACCUAGGCGACGAUCCCUAGCUGGUCUGAGAGGAUGACCAGCCACACUGGAACUGAGACACGGUCCAGACUCCUACGGGAGGCAGCAGUGGGGAAUAUUGCACAAUGGGCGCAAGCCUGAUGCAGCCAUGCCGCGUGUAUGAAGAAGGCCUUCGGGUUGUAAAGUACUUUCAGCGGGGAGGAAGGGAGUAAAGUUAAUACCUUUACUCAUUGACGUUACCCGCAGAAGAAGCACCGGCUAACUCCGUGCCAGCAGCCGCGGUAAUACGG
rnacentral:rRNA from 1 species